GGAGAGUACAGCUCAGUGGUAGAGUGUCUGCUUAGCAUGCACGAGGUUCUGGGUUCAUUCCCCAGUACCUCCA
rnacentral:tRNA from 1 species